GUAGGUGGCGAAGCGUUGUCCGGAAUUAUGGGCGUAAAGCGCGCGCAGGCGGGUUCUUUAAGUCUGAUGUGAAAGCCCACGGGCUCAACCGUGGAGGGUCAUUGGAAACUGGAGAACUUGAGUACAGAAGAGGAAAGCGGAAUUCCACGUGUAGCGGUGAAAUGCGUAGAGAUGUGGAGGAACACCAGUGGCGAAGGCGGCUUUCUGGUCUGUAACUGACGCUGAGGCGCGAAAGCGUGGGGAGCAAACAGGAUUAGAUACCCCGGUAGUCCACGCCGUAAACGAUGAGUGCUAAGUGUUAGGGGGGUUUCCGCCCCUUAGUGCUGCAGCUAACGCAUUAAGCACUCCGCCUGGGGAGUACGGCCGCAAAGGCUG
rnacentral:rRNA from 1 species